rnacentral:rRNA from 1 species
ACAUGCAAGUCGAACGCAGUAGCAAUACUGAGUGGCAAACGGGUGAGUAUAAUGUGGGAAUCUGCCUUUUGGUUUGGAAUAACACGGGGAAACUUGUGCUAAUACCGAAUAAGCCCUUACGGGGAAAGUUUUAAUGCCGAAAGAUGAGCCCGCACUUGAUUAGCUAGUUGGUAAGGUAAAAGCUUACCAAGGCAACGAUCAAUAGCUGUUCUUAGAGGAAGACCAGCCACAUUGGGACUGAGACACGGCCCAGACUCCUACGGGAGGCAGCAGUGGGGAAUCUUGCACAAUGGGGGAAACCCUGAUGCAGCGAUGCCGCGUGAGUGAAGAAGGCCCUUGGGUUGUAAAACUCUUUCGUCGGGGAAGAAAAUGACUGUACCCGAAUAAGAAGGU